GGUCCAGACUCCUACGGGAGGCAGCAGUGGGGAAUAUUGCACAAUGGGGGGAACCCUGAUGCAGCGACGCCGCGUGGGUGAAGGAGCACCUCGGUGCGUAAAGCCCUAUCGGCAGGGAAGAAACAGACGGUACCUGACUAAGAAGCCCCGGCUAACUACGUGCCAGCAGCCGCGGGAAUACGUAGGGGGCAAGCGUUAUCCGGAUUCACUGGGUGUAAAGGGAGCGUAGACGGCGGUGCAAGCCAGAUGUGAAAGCCCGGGGCUCAACCCCGGGACUGCAUUUGGAACUGUGCUGCUAGAGUGUCGGAGAGGCAGGCGGAAUUCCUAGUGUAGCGGUGAAAUGCGUAGAUAUCAGGAGGAACACCGGCGGCGAAGGCGGCCUGCUGGACCGUGACUGACGUUGAGGCUCGAGAGCGUGGGGAGCAAACAGGAUUAGAUACCCCUGUA
rnacentral:rRNA from 1 species